rnacentral:rRNA from 1 species
CCCUUAGAUGUUCUGGGCCGCACGCGCGCUACACUGAUCGGUGCAACAAGCAUCCGUCCUUGGCCGACAGGCCCGGGCAAUCUUUGAACGCCGGUCGUGAUGGGGAUAGACCUUUGCAAUUUUUGGUCUUCAACGAGGAAUUCCUAGUAAACGCAAGUCAUCAACUUGCAUUGAUUACGUCCCUGCCCUUUGUACACACCGCCCGUCGCACCUACCGAUUGAAUGGUCCGGUGAAAUCUCGGGACGGCGGCUUGGUCGCUUGCGUCCGACUGCUGAAACUUGAUUAAACCAUAUCAUUUAGAGGAAGGUGAAGUCGUAACA